UGAAGCAGGAUCUUCCCACCAGGUUUCAACACCCUACCAAUCUCUUCAAGCCAUUGCUGCCCGACGAGAUCUGGCGCAGCCCUGUGAACGGAAACAACGACAUCCAAUGAUCCAGACUCAACUGGAAGUUUCCCACCGAGCGAAUCGCACUGCGUGAGCACGAGGACAUUCUCCUCCUCGAUCGAUGCACCUCCAGCAUCCCUGACGGCGGUCAAUGCGGCGCAAGCGGGGACGGCAAUCUCGUCGAUCACAUAGAGUGCCUUGCCCUUCAUCGUGACGGCGGCCUGUGCGCACUGGAAUACUGAACGGCGGUGAUCACCG
rnacentral:misc_RNA from 1 species